rnacentral:lncRNA from 1 species
AUCACGCCAUGACCAUGCCACACCAUGCCAUGUCAUGCCGUGCCACGUGUGCCGUGCCAUCCCCACGUGUGGCACACGCCCACGCCAUGCCACGCGGUGCCCACACCGGGCUGACCCGCCUGCCGUGCCCGUGCCCAGCCGGUGGAGGUGAGCGGGGCCAUCGAGGAGGAGUUCACGGUCGCCCGGCUCUACAUCAGCAAGAUCAAGUCGGAGGUGAAGUCGGUGGUGAAGCGGUGCCGGCAGCUGGAGAACCUGCAGGUGGAAUGUCACCGCAAGAUGGAGGUCACCGGGCGCGAGCUCUCCUCCUGCCAGCUCCUCAUCUCCCAGCACGAGGCGAAGAUCCGGUCGCUGACGGAGUACAUGCAGACGGUGGAGCUGAAGAAGAGGAACCUGGAGGAGUCCUACGAUGCCCUCAGCGAG